UACAGGGGGGGCAAGCGUUGUUCGGAAUUACUGGGCGUAAAGGGUCUGUAGGUGGCUUGCUAAGUCAGACGUGAAAUCCCUCAGCUUAACUGGGGAACUGCGUCUGAGACUGGUGAGCUUGAGUGCAGGAGAGGAACGCGGAAUUCCAGGUGUAGCGGUGAAAUGCGUAGAUAUCUGGAGGAACACCGGUGGCGAAGGCGGCGUUCUGGACUGCUACUGACACUGAGGAACGAAAGCCAGGGGAGCAAACGGG
rnacentral:rRNA from 1 species